UGGUGCUUGCAUCAUGAUUUACAUUUGAGUGAGUGGCGAACUGGUGAGUAACACGUGGGAAACCUGCCCAGAAGCGGGGGAUAACACCUGGAAACAGAUGCUAAUACCGCAUAACAACUUGGACCGCAUGGUCCGAGCUUGAAAGAUGGCUUCGGCUAUCACUUUUGGAUGGUCCCGCGGCGUAUUAGCUAGAUGGUGGGGUAACGGCUCACCAUGGCAAUGAUACGUAGCCGACCUGAGAGGGUAAUCGGCCACAUUGGGACUGAGACACGGCCCAAACUCCUACGGGAGGCAGCAGUAGGGAAUCUUCCACAAUGGACGAAAGUCUGAUGGAGCAACGCCGCGUGAGUGAAGAAGGGUUUCGGCUCGUAAAACUCUGUUGUUAAAGAAGAACAUAUCUGAGAGUAACUGUUCAGGUAUUGACGGUAUUUAACCAGAAAGCCACGGCUAACUACGUGCCAGCAGCCGCGGUAAUACGUAGGUGGCAAGCGUUGUCCGGAUUUAUUGGGCGUAAAGCGAGCGCAGGCGGUUUUUUAAGUCUGAUGUGAAAGCCUUCGGCUCAACCGAAGAAGUGCAUCGGAAACUGGGAAACUUGAGUGCAGAAGAGGACAGUGGAACUCCAUGUGUAGCGGUGAAAUGCGUAGAUAUAUGGAAGAACACCAGUGGCGAAGGCGGCUGUCUGGUCUGUAACUGACGCUGAGGCUCGAAAGUAUGGGUAGCAAACAGGAUUAGAUACCCUGGUAGUCCAUACCGUAAACGAUGAAUGCUAAGUGUUGGAAGGGUUUCCGCCCUUCAGUGCUGCAGCUAACGCAUUAAGCAUUCCGCCUGGGGGAGUACGGCCGCAAGGCUGAAACUCAAAGGAAUUGACGGGGGCCCGCACAAGCGGUGGAACAUGUUGGUUUAAUUCGAAGCUACGCGAAGAACCUUACCAGGUCUUGACAUACUAUGCAAAUCUAAGAGAUUAGACGUUCCCUUCGGGGACAUGGAUACAGGUGGGUGCAUGGGUUGUCGUCAGCUCGUGUCGUGAGAAUGUUGGGGUUAAGUCCCGCAACGAGCGCAACCCUUAUUAUCAGUUGCCAGCAUUAAAUUGGGCACUCUGUGGAGACUGCCGGUGACAACCCGAGGAAAAGGGGGGGGAUGAAGUCCAAAUCAACCAUGCCCCCUAUUAACCUGGGGGUACACACAUGCUUCCAAAGGAAAGGGGACACCCAAAUUUCGGAACUCCCCCAAGGAAAGCCAAAUCCUUUAAAACCAAUUCCCCCUUUCCGGAUUUGAGGGGCGCAACCUCGCCUCACUGAAAAUCCGGAAACCUUUGGUAUUCCGGGAAAACAUAGCCCCGGGGGGAAAACAUUUCCCGGGCCUUGUGUAAACCCGCCGGCCCACCCCAA
rnacentral:rRNA from 1 species